GCCCAGAGUCAUCUACCGCCAUAACCCCCUGAAAUGCCUGAUCUUGGAAGCUAAAUAGCAUUGGACCUGGUUUGUACUUAAAUGGAAAACUGCCUGGAAAUCCAGACCCUUUAGGCU
rnacentral:rRNA from 1 species